rnacentral:rRNA from 1 species
AACGAACGCUGGCGGCAGGCUUAACACAUGCAAGUCGAGCGCCCCGCAAGGGGAGCGGCAGACGGGUGAGUAACGCGUGGGAAUCUACCCAUCUCUACGGAAUAACGCAUGGAAACGUGUGCUAACACCGUAUACGUCCUUCGGGAGAAAGAUUUAUCGGAGAUGGAUGAGCCCGCGUUGGAUUAGCUAGUUGGUGGGGUAAAGGCCUACCAAGGCGACGAUCCAUAGCUGGUCUGAGAGGAUGAUCAGCCACACUGGGACUGAGACACGGCCCAGACUCCUACGGGAGGCAGCAGUGGGGAAUAUUGGACAAUGGGGGAAACCCUGAUCUAGCCAUGCCGCGUGAUCGAUGAAGGCCUUAGGGUUGUAAAGAUCUUUCAGUGGGGAAGAUAAUGACUGUACCCACAGAAGAAGCCCCGGCUAACUCCGUGCCAGCAGCCGCCGUAACAC